rnacentral:lncRNA from 1 species
UUUAAAAUUAUUUGGAUCAUUUUCAUAUCUUUUGAAACAGUUCCAUAAUGAUGACAUCGUAUUUUAGGGGGGGGGGUCUCAUUUCAUGAAUGGUCUAUUAUCAACUUAUUUUCAAAAACGCUCAAACUUUUGUCUUUUGCGGAAAAAAGUGCAAAAUAUAAAAUAAUUUCUUUUACAAAACAAGUUUUAAUCAAAUUACAUAACCGGCUCUGCUGAGCGAUCUGCUUACUAUUAAAAUUCAUUCAUCAAUAUGUUAUAUCAAAAUUUGAAAACUUGAAUUUGCUCUUUGCCAAGGUCUGUUUUGACACCCAUUUUGACAAAAAGCAUAUUUUUGAUCAACCUGCUGAGCGAUAUACUUUUACGAGACCAAAAACUCCGAUAACAUUUUAACUGCAAUUGAAUCCGGCCGCCAAAAUUGUUUACCUCAUGUUGACAUAAUUAAAUCGUUUGUUAAUAAAAUGGGAUCAUAGUCAGCAUUCUUAUCCGGAUUUUACUACGCUUUAACGACAAACUCAGGGGUUCACGCAAUUAUACUUGCUGUAAUCAGUAACGGAAACUUUUCCGGAAAUACCGACUUCUGUUUUAUUUUCCUGAAUUGGGAAUUUAUAUUUCAAACAUUUUUUUUGGGGG